UACGAAGGGGGCUAGCGUUGCUCGGAAUCACUGGGCGUAAAGCGCACGUAGGCGGCUUUUUAAGUCAGGGGUGAAAUCCUGGAGCUCAACUCCAGAACUGCCUUUGAUACUGAGAAGCUUGAGUCCGGGAGAGGUGAGUGGAACUGCGAGUGUAGAGGUGAAAUUCGUAGAUAUUCGCAAGAACACCAGUGGCGAAGGCGGCUCACUGGACCACAACUGACGCUGAGGCGCGAAAGCUAGGGGAGCAAACAGG
rnacentral:rRNA from 1 species